rnacentral:rRNA from 1 species
CGAGGAAUAUUGGUCAAUGGGCGCAAGCCUGAACCAGCCAUCCCGCGUGCAGGAAGACGGCGCUAUGCGUCGUAAACUGCUUUUCCAGGGGGAGAAACUUGCGCACGUGUUGCGCAAUUGACGGUACCCUGGGAAUAAGCAUCGGCUAACUCCGUGCCAGCAGCCGCGGUAAUACGGAGGAUGCGAGCGUUAUCCGGAUUCAUUGGGUUUAAAGGGUGUGUAGGCGGACUAUUAAGUCAGUGGUGAAAUCCUGCAGCUUAACUGCAGAACUGCCAUUGAUACUGAUAGCCUUGAGUUUGGUUAAGGUAGGCGGAAUGUGUAAUGUAGCGGUAAAAUGCUUAGAUAUUACACAGAACACCAAUUGCGUAGGCAGCUUACUGAGCCGACACUGACGCUGAGGCACGAAAGCGUGGGGAUCGAACAG